rnacentral:rRNA from 1 species
AUGACGAUACUAAGCUGGAACUGCCGGGGCCUCGGGCAGCCCCGGACAGUUCAAGAGUUGGUAUGCCUAGUGCAUACCCAUAAGUCCAAGAUCGUCUUCAUCACAUAAACUAGACAUAGCGAGAAUAAAGUAAAAGGAAUAAAAUGGAGACUUGGUCUGAAACAUUGUCUUACCCAAGAUGGGAAGGGAAAUGGAGGUGGUAUUGCUCUAUAUUGGGACGAUGAAAUAAAAUGGUGGGGAACGUUUGUAUAUGGUGAACCCAGGAGCUAGGACCGCCACCACAUGUGGAAUCUGUUGAAGAGGAUUGCCCCGAACUCAAGUGAACCA